rnacentral:lncRNA from 12 species
AUCCAAUCAUUUUCUUUUUUCUUUCUUUUUUCAAAAGAGCAUUCCUUCCUCAUUUUAAUCAAUUUUAAUCACUUUAGCAAGGUAUUAGAUCACCAGAUUACAGGCUUGGAAAGCUGGCAUUUUCUUAUUAAGGAAGAUCUAAAACCUUGCCUAAAAGUGCCCUAGGAACAUAAAGGCUAGAUGACUAUUUUUUUUUCUCUCACUCAGGUAAGGAGGAGCUUAUGAAGACAGCAAGCUGGGUUAUCUUCCUGUGGUUAGGCGGAUGCUCAUUUCAACAAAACUGGCAAGACCUAACCACAGUGCUACAUCAAUACUGCCAUCUGGGACAACUUUUAAGCUAUUGUACUUAAACCUUGGAAAGAAACAAUUAUCCUGGUCCCAAAAGCUUGAAAUGGCAUUCGACGGUGUUCAAAUACACAAUCUCAUUUGAGCCUUACAAACGUCCCUCAGCCUCCCAGUUAUUCAAGGAACAGCCCGGAACCAGCAUUCUGCAGGCAAGCUACUUCUUUCUCUUCAGGCCCUCAGGAUCUCUGCUUUUGCAACCUCCUCUGCACAUCGAUGUACCUGAACAUUCUUGGCCCUGGUCACUUGCUACCUGAGGCGUGGCCUUGAUCUCCAUCCUGACAUGGAUGCUUCCUUUAUUCCCCAUUCAGCAAGGCAGACACACAUCAAUGUUUAUUGUUGUUGAUGAUGAUGAUGGUUGAGCAAUCAUUGGGGGGAAAAACUGAUGGAAAAAUAGCCCUAAUCUUUUCCCUUAGUGUAUCCUAAGCUGUUACCUAUAGUUCCAGUUUAAAGCAUACAUCUGGGUCCGUGCUACCAUGUUACCUAUAGUUGGUCUCAAGUCAUUUUCUCACGGGCAUGCUAUCUUCCCAACCAGAUUCUCAGCUCCCCAAAGGCAAAACUGACUACUUUCUUUUGUUUCUCUUCAUCUUGCAUUAUAUUGGACUUGGCAGGGCCAACCUAGAGAUUCAGUUAAAGCUUCUUGCCUAAAUAACCAUAAGUAAUCAAGAAAGGAGGCAUGGAUAGCAUUUGAAAGGUUAAAAGUAUUAGCUGAACUCCCUGAUUACCUCCUUCCAUGCUUGGUUAUUUUCAUUGACAAUGGUAUACCCAGCAGCUUGGCACAAAGGCAUUUCUUGGUAAAGAAUUUAAUGCCACCCCUUCAUGGGUGUGUGAGUAAGAGUCAUUCAUCAUGGUGGUGGAAUUUUUUGGAAGAUAAGGUGUUAUACUUAAGGUGGAAUGCAACUUAGGAUGAAACACAUUUAAUCAAAGAGAGCUUUCUAGAAGGAGUGAGAUUGAUGGUGGGUUUGGGGCAGUAGUAUGCUAUAGUGAGAAAAAAACCUUGACUAGAAGUCAGGACACCUAGGCUUUUGUCCCUGUU